rnacentral:rRNA from 1 species
CAUGCCGCGUGUGUGAUGAAGGCCUUAGGGUUGUAAAGCACUUUCACUGGUGAAGAUGAUGACGGUAACCAGAGAAGAAGCCCCGGCUAACUUCGUGCCAGCAGCCGCGGUAAUACGAAGGGGGCGAGCGUUGUUCGGAAUUACUGGGCGUAAAGGGAGCGCAGGCGGUUCAUUCAGUUAGGCGUGAAAGCCCCGGGCUCAACCUGGGAACUGCGCUUAAUACUGAUGAACUAGAAAGCAGGAGAGGGUAGUGGAAUUUCCAGUGUAAAGGUGAAAUUCGUAUAUAUUGGAAAGAACACCGGUGGCGAAAGCGGCUACCUGGCCUGAUUUUGACGCUGAGGCUCGAAAGCGUGGGGAGCAAACAGGAUUAGAUACCCUGGUAGUCCACGCCGUAAACGAUGACAGCUAGAUGUCGGAGGGUCGCCCUUCGGUGUCGCCGCUAACGCAUUAAGCUGUCCGCCUGGGAAGUACGGUCGCAAGAUUA